rnacentral:tRNA from 1 species
AAGAAAAGGAGGGGUUAAUAAUAAGCCGCUAACUUACUUAUUUAGCAGUUCAACUCUGUUACCUUAUCUUA